rnacentral:rRNA from 1 species
AACCCUCGCUGUGUGUUACAAGUGUCGACACGGAACUGCCGGUCAUAAACCGGAGGAAGGUGGGGAUGACGUCAAGUCAGCAUGGCCUUUAUAUCCUGGGCUACACACACGCUACAAUGGGAAGGGACAAUAGGUUGCGAAGCCGCGAGGCGGAGCCAAUCCAGCAAACUUCCCUCAGUUCAGAUUGCAGGCUGCAACUCGCCUGCAUGAAGUUGGAGUUGCUAGUAAACGCAGGUCAGCCAUACUGCGUUGAAUACGUUCCCGGGGCUU